GCGACGAAGACGACAACGUUUAACUAAUCCGUCUGUCUCAAUAACAACAACGAACAAAAACAAACAAACGCACCAACAAAAAAUUCACAACGAAAAAAAAAUUAUUCGCGCAUUGGUUUAAAACGUGCGCUCAAGUCUGAUGCACACGAGUGAUUUUUUUGCGCGGCACACCACCGACAACGACAUCUCGCUACUUUCGUAAAGUACUACUAAGCGGCAAGUUGGGAGGGAGUGAGAUAGAAAGAAAAUAAAGAGAUAGCUUGUGGUAUCAACGAGCUUUCUUCUUCGGGAGGCCCGGUUUUCGCUUAGGAGGUUAGUUCUUCCUACCGUUUCCGAAUGCACACUGCAUGCGAGUUCAGUCGCUCGAGCUCUUGAGCGUGUCUGCGGUAGCCCUCUAGCGGACAAAACUACAAACUAUCUUGAAUUGUAUUUUUUCAACCCCCAUACAAUAACAAAAAAUCGAAAUUUUUUUAAAUCUACAUAUUAGAUAGAGUAUUGGAGAGUAUUAGAGAAAGAUUUAACCCAAAAAAGUUUAUUUAAGUCUAUUUAAGGGAUUAUUUCGGUAACUAAGUGACAUCUGUUGGAGGGUAAAUGUGGCGCCGCGGGGUGAACGUUCGUGUUACUAAACAGGGAAGGUAGCGGGACCGUAAUGAAAUUUAAAUGCUAAUUUAUUAAUGGUAACGUUACGGGGCUGUAUAAUUAAUUAAUUCCGGGGGAGGAAAGUGAUGAAAACUUUAAACGGAGAAGAAAAUUAAGAUGUGUUUUAGUUAGAGAAAUUAUUUUAAUAUAAAAUAUGAGUGAUUUUUUUUUUGAAUCACCGGUUUCGGUUAUAAAUCAUCUUCAGAUGUGUUAUAAAUUACACAAAUAAAAAAUUUAUAACUAUAGA